GGGGGAGGGAGGAGAGGAGGAGGGCCGAGUCGCCCGGUGCUGAUCUGCGCUCCGCUCCCACAGGGAUCCCCACCAGCCACCCCCGGGUCUAUAACAUCCACAGUCGAGCGGUCACCCGGUAUCCUGCCAACUCCAUCGUCGUGGUCGGAGGCUGCCCGGUCUGCAGGGUUGGUGUCCUGGAAUACUGCUUCACCUGCCUGGGCAUCUUCUUGGCCAUCGUCCUGUUUCCUUUCGGGUUCCUCUGCUGCUUCGCGCUGAGGAAGCGAAGGUGCCCCAACUGUGGAGCGGUCUUCACCUAAAGGGAACCACACACCCAGUUUUCCUACGUCAGCUCUUUUCUAAUGUAAAUGUCGUGUACAAUAGUUUUAUUUGAUUAAGCUUCAGGACUGUUUUGUAAAGUGCGUGCUCUGCCUGCGGUGGGAUGGACUGGCUUAGGGCUGCAGAGGGGGAAGGCAGCGACCUGCUCCCAAGGCCAAGGAUAACGCGCUGCUUCUAUUUUUUGCAGUCUUCAAUUUGAGAAUGGUGAGAAAUACUGUUUUAAAUAAAUGAGAUUCAUACCAUUGUGU
rnacentral:lncRNA from 1 species